UAUUUUGUAUAUUUAUGUAUUGUACAUAUAUAUUUAUAUGUAAUGCAUAUUGUGUGCGUUUAUAUGUAUAUGUAUGUAAUAUGUAUAUGUAUGUAUAUUCAAUUUAGAAAAGGAAGAUGAAAAACUGAUCCUUCUUGAUUAAUCCCAGAUCCUUUUAGCUUUUAUGCCUUUCAUCUUUCUAAGGCCAAUACAGCACAAAAAAGCCAGUGUCUGGGGACGGACGUUGCUAUAAUUGGCUGCUGAAUAAGUCUGCAAGCAAUCUACCAUUUUUUUACCCACCUCCCCUUACAAUAAUAAUAAAGUUAAUAAUAGUAGUAGUAGUAGCAUGCUGUCUAAGACACACUUGUUAUGUAUACAACACCUGCAUUGGUAACACGCAUUAAUAUGAUUAAUACAGUAUAACAGGUGAGCUGAACAUGUUGGGGACGUGGGUUAAAGCUGGUACUAAGGAGGGCAAUAUAGAGGUUUCAAUAGGGCUGCUUUUUCUGUAGAAGAGGUCCAUCUCCCAGAUGAAAGCUGCUUCAAUUCUCUUCAUUCUAUGGCUGCUAAUUAAUUAAUUAAUUAAUCCAUUAUCUUUUUCUCUUUUUUUUUUUUAAGGUAUCAAUGUCGUUUGGUCACAUCAACCCUUUCAUUUACAUCCCCACUGGAUAAAUGUUCAUUAGAAUCUUGUGCCAAGUCAAAAAUCUGAUCCAAUAUGGGGAGGGGGGGUAGUGGUGGACCAAAUAUUUGACGCCUGAUUCCGAGUUCAAUAAUCAACAUUUCUAGAAUUUAGUUUAGUGGCGUUUCUUCCAGUUCUUUACAUUCUAGGUUCAAAUCUUGCCAAGGUCAACUUUGCCGAGUAUUGGGGUUGGUGUAAUUGACUAAUCCCGAUCCCCCUAAAAAUUGCUGGCUUUGUGCCAAAAUUUGAAACAGUUGUUAAUAAUUUUAUUUUCAUGUUUUUGCAAUAAACAUCACCAUUCAACUUAUACUUUUUCUUUUGUGCUAUUCCAUUUCUGACCCUUAAACUUUAAAAUGUACCUACUUUUUUAUAAUUUAAAGCCAAAUUUAUAUUCAGUUGCAUUCAAUGUGGUGGUUUGAUGGCAGAAUUGGUAGAGCAUCAGGCAAAAAUAUUUUGUCAUUUAGUUACGUUCAUUUACAUUCAAGUGGUGUUCAAAUCCAAUCCUUACCUGCAUCCUAGGUCAUUUGUUUUUUCCUCUCCUCUCUCCUUGAGGGUCUGAGUAGGCAGGUGGCUUGACAUUGAUAUAUUUGGUUAAAACCCUUUAAAGGUAAUGAUCCCCAACAUCGCUGGCUACAAACAAUAGCUUAGUCAGGGAAAGAAUAAAUAUAAAGAAAGAGAAAUGGGUUAUUACACAAUCGACCAUGCAUACGUGGGUGCAUGCAAGCCCCUAUGCAAGUGGUUAUUGAAAACUUGCCAUAAGUUUUUUCCCCCUCAGUAAAAACUAACCUGCCCCCUAUAUUUGAAUAUUCUUGCUAUGGCCUCCAACUUUGAUUCCACCUUGCACUCACCCUGCCAUACUUAUACACAGCAGUGAAUUUAUAAUUAACAACAAAAAAUAUAAAAAUAUGGCCCUCCCUCCCAAAUAUAAAAUUUGGAAUCUAUUAAAGCACUGUCUGCACUCUCUCACUUUUGGCCCCAUCCCUGUCCCCCACCCAAAGGGAUAAAUUUUGUUUUUUAAUUGUUCAUCUGUUCUUCCAGUUUUCCCAAAUAAAAGGGCAGGGCUUUGAUUGCUUGAAUUCCCAUUCACCCCCUUCUCCACCCCUUAGUUGCUUCACCUCCGCGUAUGUUGGGGUACCACUCUUUAACAAAUAGGAAGGGAUCACACCAAUCUGGCCACCGCCUCUUUGCUCUCCAAUCUUAGUUGGUCAAUUCUGCCAUUGGUAGAAUCGGUGGAGCAUCAGACAAGUGGUAUUCGUUUUGGCUCUUUACACUCUGAGUUCAAACCCUUCCAACGUCAACUUCACCUUUGCCUCUCAUUCCUCUAGAUGCGAUAAAAUAAUGACCAAUCAAGUGAGCAGCAGGGUGGGGGUCAGUAUAGUAGCCUGACCGUCCUCCUUAAAAUUGCUGGCCUUGUGCUUAAAUCGGAAACUGUUAUCUGUUGGAUGAACAUGCUCAGCAGUAUUUCCUCCAGCUCUUCACAUUCUGGGUUCAAAUCCUGCCAAGGCCGACUUGGCCUUUCAUCCUUUCGGGGUUGAUGAAAUAAAGUACCAGUCAUGUACAGGGGGUCGAUGUGAUCAACUUGCCCCUCCUCCCAAAAUCACUGGGUGUGUGCCAAAAUUAGAAAGCAUUGUUAUUCAAUGGAAAACUUCACCCCUCCUCUCUCUCUAAUUAGUUCCAAGUUCAAAUCUUGUUGGGUUGGUUCUUGGUUUUGUAUUUUGUUUUUCCUCGUUCCUCUGGAAUCGUUAGAAAUCUCUAGACAUUCAACUGGAAUCGGUUCAAUUGGCAACACUAGACCUACCUCUUCUGCAAGACACACACACACACAGAAUUUAGCCUCCUGUUGGUAAAAGUUUGCCCUCCCCAUCAAUGAUUAAAAAAACAAAAUGAAAUUUCAAUUCUUUAGCACAUUUUGACUGGAAUGGGGGUUUAAAGAAAAUUGAUUAAAAAAUUUUUUUUUUAAGUUCCCUAGGAAAUCUAUGAUAAACACGUUUCUUUUUCAUCUGUAUGAUAAUAAUAAUAAUAAUGAUGAUGAUGAUAACGACGACGAUGAUGAUGAUAAUUAUAACAUUGACAAUAAAUAAAACAAAAAAUAAAGUAUUUUUUCAUCGUAUUUCCUAAUUCAUAUCAUCAAAAAUUAAACUGAAGUCGUUAAUCGUUUUCAGUUUUAAUUUGUUUUAAAUAAUUAAAAUCUAAGGAAAAAAAAAGAAAAACAAAAAAACACAAGUCACAACAAAAAAUAAAAACAAUAGAAGUAAAUAUAAAUUUUAUUUGUCUUUUUUUUUUGUAUUUGUAAAGAUGAUGAUGAUGAUGGAAUAAAAACAUACAGUGAAAUUUAUUUGAGAAUUGUUUAAUUUUUUCUAAUUAGUACUUGAAAAAAAAUAAUCAUUUUUUUUAUUAUGAUGCUAUCAAAGAUGGAAAUGGUGGAGGCAAACCAGCAUCGGAAGAAGAAAAAAUUGCCUUGCUGCAUUCAUUCUGGUUCUUGUAUAUUGAGGUAACAAUUCCCAUUCACCUCCACCUCCGCGUAUGUCGGGGUACCACUCUUAAACAAAUACGAAGGGCUCACACCAAUCUGGCCACCGACUCUUUGCUCUCCAAUCUUAGUUGGUCAAUUCUGCCAUUGGUAGAAUCGGUGGAGCAUCAAACAAGUGGUAUUCGUUUUGGCUCUUUACACUCUGAGUUCAAACCCUUCCGACAUCAACUUCACCUUUGCCUCUCAUUCGACCCUUCAUCCUACCAGGGUCGAUUAAAAUAAAGUACCAGUUAAAUACUGGGGUUGAUGUCAUCUAUUUAACCCUUGCCUCUCUUCCAUUCCCCUCAAAACUUCUACCUUUCUGUCUUAAUUAGAAACCAUUAUUAUUAUUAUUAAUUAUUUUACUGAUCAGCUUUUUUCUCUUUCAUUCUCUCUGCAGU
rnacentral:lncRNA from 1 species